rnacentral:rRNA from 1 species
GACGAACGCUGGCGGCGUGCUUAACACAUGCAAGUCGAACGGAAAGGCCUGCUUUCCCUUGUGGAUUGCGGGUACUCGAGUGGCGAACGGGUGAGUAACACGUGAGUGAUCUGCCCCCAACUUGGGUAUAAGCCUGGGAAACUGGGUCUAAUUCCCGAUAGGACUGCAGGGUGGUGCCUGUGGUGGAAAACGAUUUUCUAGUGGUUGGGGGUGAGCUCGCGGCCUAUCAGCUUGUUGGUGGGGUAAUGGCCUACCAAGGCGGCGACGGGUAGCCGGCCUGAGAGGGUGGACGGCCACAUUGGGACUGAGAUACGGCCCAGACUCCUACGGGAGGCAGCAGUGGGGAAUAUUGCACAAUGGGCGGAAGCCUGAUGCAGCGACGCCGCGUGGGGGAUGACGGCCUUCGAGUUGUAAACUCCUUUCGACCGCGAGGAAGCCACCUGGUUGGAAGGGUGGUGACGGUAGUGGUAGAAGAAGCACCGGCUAACUACGUG